CAGCCGUAAACUAUGCGCGUUAGGUGUAUCGGUGACCACGAGUCACCGAGGUGCCGAAGGGAAACCGUGAAACGUGCCGCCUGGGAAGUACGGUCGCAAGGCUGAAACUUAAAGGAAUUGGCGGGGGAGCACCACAACAGGUGGAGCCUGCGGUUUAAUUGGACUCAACGCCGGGAAGCUCACCGGAUAGGACAGCAGAAUGAAGGCCAAGCUGAAGACUUUGCCGGAUUAGCUGAGAGGAGGUGCAUGGCGUAGU
rnacentral:rRNA from 1 species